CGGGGAGUGGCGCAGUUUGGUAGCGCGCUUGCUUUGGGAGCAAGAUGCCGCAGGUUCGAAUCCUGUCUCCCCGA
rfam:Synechococcus sp. WH 8102 complete genome.